AUUGAACGCUGGCGGCAGGCCUAACACAUGCAAGUCGAGCGGAUGAAGGGAGCUUGCUCCUGGAUUCAGCGGCGGACGGGUGAGUAAUGCCUAGGAAUCUGCCUGGUAGUGGGGGAUAACGUCCGGAAACGGGCGCUAAUACCGCAUACGUCCUGAGUGAGAAAGUGGGGGAUCUUCGGACCUCACGCUCUCAGAUGAGCCUAGGUCGGAUUAGCUAGUUGGUGGGGUAAAGGCCUACCAAGGCGACGAUCCGUAACUGGUCUGAGAGGAUGAUCAGUCACACUGGAACUGAGACACGGUCCAGACUCCUACGGGAGGCAGCAGUGGGGAAUAUUGGACAAUGGGCGAAAGCCUGAUCCAGCCAUGCCGCGUGUGUGAAGAAGGUCUUCGGAUUGUAAAGCACUUUAAGUUGGGAGGAAGGGCAGUAAGUUAAUACCUUGCUGUUUUGACGGUACCAAAAGAAUAAGCACCGGCUAACUUCGUG
rnacentral:rRNA from 1 species